AAAAGCUGAAGAAAACUUAAAAACUCACUAAUUUCUAGGAAUCAAAGUCUGAUAAGAAAAAAAAUCAUGGAUAAUCCAAACCGUCUUCUAAAAUCUAAAGAGUGAAAGUUACCCCGCCCAGGAGAUCUAAACGCAUCCUUGAAUGAUUUUAUACCUGAAGCAAGUUCAUCAAAAAUCCUCUCUUCUGAUACUUCUUCAAAAAGUAGUUCAACUUCAAAAGAAACUCCCAAGAGUUCAAUCGCUAAAAAGGUUUCAAAAGAAUCCAAGGAUU